UGUGAGUCACUUGCCAGCACAAUAUCUUCUGCCUGAGGGAGGCUGCCCUGCCUUGCCCCGCACGAAAGAGAAUGCAGCUAGCCUCAAGAAUGAAGAUAGAAAUUCACUUUGUCACUCAAGAAAUAGCUAUUGAAUAUCAACUUUGUGCCAGGCGUCAUUGCUGGUAAAAUAAUGCCUGGCACACACUGGACAACAUUUCAAAAUGUUGGUUGAAAGCACAAGAAUAAGUAAACUAACAAAGCGCCCGCAUCAGCGCUGGAGAAUCGCUGCUUUUGUGCCAGCCCGCGGGUAGACUCUGUUGGACGACAAAGGUUUCCGGAUAUGACCAUAUGGCAGUGGGACCAGUGUCUGCAGGUCAUCAGGAGCCGUCCCGUGGGCCCGGCAGCCGGGUGCACGGCUCUGCCAUCAGUCCACCGCCCCGUGGGGUACGCGGCCUCCCCUCCUCUUACCACGGCUCCUUUCCCCGAAGAGCCUUUAGUUUCCCCCUUUCCACUCCUAAUCCUCUCCUACCAGGAGCUACUUUCUCUUACAUUCUUCUCCCCUUAAAUUCGUAUCUCAUUUUUCAACCCUGUUUCCCACACAAAGAUUCCCAGGGGCAGGCAGGUAAUGGCACCUGCCUUCCUGUCGCCUUCCCUCACCUGUAGGGGUCCCAGCCCCUGGCCAAGGCCCUGUUCCUGAAUUCCAGGCUCUUCAAUGUCUCUGCAGCACGUGGCCGUGUUGAAUUCCCUCCCUCCCUCCCCCAUCCUCCCUCCCUGUCUCCCUCCCUCCCACGCUUCUGUGUCUUGCUUCUUUCCUACCUCUUUGAUCUCACUUUUUACUCUCUCCUUCCUGCCUCCUGAAGAAUGGAUGCUUCCAAGGGAUUGCACUGUAACCUUCUGCUCUUCCCUUCCUCAACCCUCUGCCCACCUCCAGCAUUAUGGUUUUAUUCAUUCAUUUACUCAAAUGUCUUUAUAUUUAUGGGGUUUAACAGUAGGUAGGACCAUUUACUAGGAAUGUCAAGUCCUGCCAUGUCCCAGAUCCUUUUCUAGGCCCUGGACCUAGUGGGAACACGACCAGGGCCCUGUUCUCCAGAGGGAAGCAGACAGUGAACAAGUAAACAGACAUAUCACAACUGCAGACGGUGGUAGGUGUUAAAAGGUAAGUAAAAGAGACUGAUGGGGAUAGAGUGGGGGCACUGCUGCCCUGUCUUAGUGGUCAGGGCGGGCUCCUCUUGGAGGUGACACGUGACCUGAUCCUGAGUGAUAAGGAAGCCAUCCGCAUCUUUGGCAGAAGCGUAUUCAGGGUGUGGAGCUGAGAUGUCAGUGAUGUCUAUACAGAUGACUCUGAACUCAGGGCCACAUUUCAUGACUUCUUUUAAAUUGAAGUACAGAUGACUCACAAUAUUAUAUUGGUUUCAGGUGCACAACAUAGUGAUUUGACAAUUAUACACAUUAUGCAAUGCCCACCACGCAGAGCAUGGUGGCUUAAAGUGUACACUCUGAAGACAAUCUCAGGGUUUGAAUCCCAGGUCUGUCCCAGAGUGGCUCCAUGAUCUCUAGGGUUCCAGUUCCUCAUUGAUAAACUGUUGAUGAUAAAAGGAUCCAUCUCAAGUGUUGUCACGAGGUUUUAAAUGAGCGAAUGCACAUAAGCAUGUGGCACUCUGGGACCACAGGUGAGAAGUGGGAUUUCGCCCUCAAGGAGCAACGGACCUAAAGAGACGAUUACAAUCCAACAUGACGUGAGCAGGAAACACGUACUGGGGACUCCCUAAAAUUUUACAUGAGGGCAUCACCUCAUGUUUGCCCACUGUCAGACAGGUCCUCUGAUCAUCCCUAUUUAAUGAAGUAGCAGUUGAUGGCUGGACAAUGAAUGAGCCCCAUGGAAGAAAACUCCAUCUGACUCCAAAGCCUGCAUUCUUAACACUCAACCAAAAUUGCUCUGACGAAGGGGAGCGUGUGGUGUGCUGGGAGAGCGAAUGGAGGAAGGAAGGUUUGGAGGGAGACACAGCAAGCAUCACAGGGUGCUGACAGCAUCCCAUGAAUGGGGAUGUAGCUAGAGAAGCAGGAAGCACAUUCCCGGAAGAAGUGAGCGCAAAUGCGAAGCCGGGCAGUGUGAAAGCCCAGGGGACACCAGGAGCAUCUGGGGUUCUGUGUGCUGGAACAGGAUGAUGGCGUGUGGAGUAAGGCUGAGGAGUAAAGGGCCAGAAUGUAUGCCUCUCUGCACUCCAGCUCUUCCGUAUAGCGGGCGGUCUAGUGUACAGCAGGUGCCCUCUCUCCUUGCUUGGUGAUUAGGACAGAAUGGGGCACAUUGUUUUUUUAUGCAGUGUUGACCAGUAUUUUCAUACAGAGGAUGCAUUAUCAUGACAACUACUCUACCUUCACCCUAAGUUGACAGACAGGCCUUUGAUGAACAAAUGCUGAACUUCAGAAGGAAACAGCCUCAUAUACCCCAAAUGCAGCACAUCACAAUCAUGACAAUUGCACAACGGGCGUACAUGCAAGUCAUUUUAGUGCAGCCCUCUGAAGUGAAGGCUUUUAGUAUUCACGCUGAUGGCUUGUUGUGAGCCUUGCCUAAGGAUGCUGUGAGGGGCAUUUUUUUCUUGAAAUAAUUUUGGAACCAGUGUUUCUGAGUCUGUGUAGAGUCUCUUUAGUUGGACUGCACAGAUUCAGGAUCUCCAGGCUCAGUCUUGCAGAUUAAGUCUUCCCUGAGAAGACAGUGAUGUUUUUUCAUUCCUAAAAGCAGGGCUUAGCUGAAGCUUAAGAGGAACAUUUUAUUUUUUUCUACCAGAGCAGAAGUCAAACUCUGACGUUUACUAGACAUGUGGCUUUGGAUAAGUCUCUUACCUGUUUCUUAUCUCAGUUUCCUUAUCUGUACAAUGGGAACAAUGGUAUUAAUAUGAGUAUUGUUACUAUUAUAAAUAAUACAUCAUUGGAUCAUUAUGAAGGUUAUAAAAUUAACACACGCUCCUUGUAGAAGAGUGCCAGGCUCACUGUGAGCAGCCCUGAAUUAUGUGUUCCUUGCAUUAGGGAGGCUUCACUGAAAGCAGGAGUGAAAUCAAGGCUUUGUUCUGCUCACUAAGGCCAGAGCCACGCAGAUGGGCCCCGUUGCUAAUUGGCACAAAGGCACAGGAUGGGUUAGCAGCAGUCCUGCUGGAGAAGCACUAAAUUUGCCCUCAUCUACUCACAUGGCUUUGCUCUCUUCAUUUUGUGACUAUUGAGAAGUAUUUGUGAAAUAGAUACACUGAAAAGCUGCAUUCGAUUGGUUAUUGGUUAUAAAACGUCUCCAAUCUUGCCAUUCAUGUUUUUAACACCCCUAGCUUUAUUAGAACAUUUGGUCAAGAAACACUUGGGGAAACAGUCUUUCUUGAUUAUUCCUUGCCACGACCCUGGUCCUCCUCUCCAUGCACCUACAAGCACACCGAUGGCACCUCACAAGGCUGCUAUGGCAUAUGCCAUCACGGGGCAUGCUGGGUUUCUCCCAUCCCUCUCAGAAAAGCUUGAGACAUACUGACGAUGCAAGCCAAGCUUACCUAGCAAUUUCUCCAUUGAUUUGAACUAACACUCUCCAUGGCUACAUGGGAGCCCACACAUAUCUCCACAUUCUCCACAACAGCAAUUUCCAAAGAAAAAAAAUAACCCAAACAAACAAUAGCACCUGGACAACACGGGGGGUUGGCCUUAGAGGUCAAACUGGACUGGGCAGCUUCUGUUACUCGACUAUCAAGAACAACUAAUAAAUGCCUGAUUUUUAUUUAGAGGAGCAGCAAAUAACAUUGACGGAGCCCUUGAUUUGGGAUCAGAAAGCUGAGCUUGACUUUUGGCUCUGGGUGACCUUGAGCAAAUGCACCAAAUUCCUCCCUCAGCACUGAAAUGGGCCUUAGUGGUCAAGAUGCACAUACUGAGGUGGAGAGUUUAAGGGUCUUGCCAAACAUGACUAAGUUCACAGCGGAGCUGGGACCCCUGCACCUCGGCUCCUAGCCUAGGGGUCUAGGAGAACCAAGCCCCAUGGAGCCAGGAUGAAGGAUAAAUGGUUUUUCCAGAUAAAUCACAACAUGUAUUCUAUUGGACACAUUAGGCAUAAAGUCCACAUAUAAAAUUUCUGUGGGAAUUCAAUCUUUAUGUUUCUGAGUUAUUCGGAGUUAACCCUCCUAAAUGGUAUCUUUUUUGAAAACUAACAAUGUCCAAAAUGCCCUUUAAGUUUGUUGUUGUUUUUUUUUUACUUUUUUUUUGCACAGAAAUAGGAACUUCUUUGCCAGGAAUAAACACAUUUGAAUGCCAGAGGAUUUUAAAUUCUCUUUCAGAUUCACUCUCUGCCAAAUCAAAGUUAGUUCCAAUCCUCUAUUUAGAAGGAGAGAGGAGGGAGGGGCUGUUCCGGCUCCCUCAUAACUGCUGAAAUAAGCAAAGCUUAUCUGAAGUCAUUGGAGUGAGUGCUUUUACUUUACUGAAAUGUUACAAGGAUUUUGGAAUGUGGUAGGUGGAAAUCAGCAUUAUUAGUAUAUUUGUUAUGGUUCAAGGUAAAGACUCACUGAGGCGCUGUUUCUAUGUUUUACUAGAGGUCCUUUCAAUGAUCCUUGACAUUGCAUUUGGGAAUGUGUUUGAUCACCAAAUUAUCACAGCCAAGAGAGGGAUGGGCAUGGUGGGUGGCUCAGCGAGGAUGUAGUGCAUGCUGGGAGCCUCGUGUCGCCUACCAACUAGGAGAGGCUUAGCUAAAAGGAACAGACAUGGAGACACUCGGAAAAUGGAUGCAGAGCAUUUGGUGAUCAUGGGAUAAGCCUUGAUUUGAGAAAGAAGAAAGACAUAAUUAAUGGUCAUUUGGCAUUUAUAAAACUGUUCUAAAAGCUGAAACUAUCAUUAUAGAAACAGGGCAUUGCAUCGUAAUGAGUGUUACUAAGUCAGGUUGUGUUCCAAAAUGAGUUCAGCUCUCUGCAUAGUGUCAGUGCUCAGGUGCCUUCUCAGACACUACUCAUCCCGAACAUUCUGGAAAAACAAACCAGGAGAAUCCAGAGCUUCCCUAGAUUUUGUUACUCAAAGCAUCUUAAGCUGUCUAGUAACACUGGCAUCAUCUGGGAGCUUCUUAGAAAUUCAGGAUUUUAGGUCCAUUCAGAUCUACUGAAUCAGAAUCUAGAUUUAAACAAAAUUCCCAAGUGAUUUAUAUGCACAUUGAAGUUUGAGAAAUAUUGUUCUAAAGCAGAGGUGAGUAAACUUCUUCUGCCAAGGAUCAGGUAGUAAAUAUUUCAGCCUUUUCAUAUCCAAAAGUCUCUGCCAUGUUUCUGCAUGGACAAUCUGUAAACACACAGGCAUGGCUCAGUGCCAAUAAACGUCAUUUACAACACCCGGUGGAGUUGGAUUUGGCCCUUGGGUGAAGAACGAGAAUGAUGAAGGAUGUCAGGGGCAUUGUGCUGAUGGGGGGGGGGGGGGCAAGAAGUUGAAUUACAAAUAUCACAGUAUUGAAACAAACCAGGCUCACAAUUCAUCAACAUGUAAUUGGAAAUUCUCCUUCUUAGGGGCUAAAAUACUUGCAUCCUGUAUCCCCUACUUUCUUCCUUUUAUUGGGCUACCGGGAGUUAUUAAAGAGGUUGUAUGUGAAGUCAGAGAGCAGAGAAAUGAAAAGGUAGGGGUGUGUGUCUGUGGGUGUGGGUGUGCUAUUAGUUUUUCCUCAAGCUUUCAUUAUGGAGACCUUCAAGCAUCCAGUAAAAGUGGAGUUAAUAGUAUAAGAAACUGUCCUAUGUCCUUCACAUCCACUUGUAACAAUAUUUUCAAGUUCCUUUCUCCAUCCCUCUACUUUAAAAAAUUCAGGAUAUUUUAAAAUAAAUCUAACCAUCAUGUUACAUGUCACUAAUAAAUAUUGCAGUGUGUACCUUGAACAGAUAAAAAGUUUUCUUUUAAUGUAGCCACAAAACCCUUCUGAAUUUCCUAGCUUUUUCUAAUGAUACGCUUGGAAACAAUGAAGCUACUGUAGAGAUGAGUACCUGUAGCAUCUAGAUUGUGGUUUUUAAAUAUCAUGUCCCACAGAAAGGGAAUGAGGGUCCCCCCUGGUAAGAUGGGUGAUUCCAGGUCUAGGAUGGGAAGUGUACAAAACGAACCAGGUACUUAUUAAUUAUUGCUACAGAAAACAAAGAUGCUAUCAGAAACUACUGGAGCCAUUUCAGAAGGUGUAGAAACUAACUUGAAGGGACUCUUCUUUGCCAAAGACAGAGUAAUUUGAGAAUCAAAGGUAAUAAUGACCACAGUGAUUAAAACACAUUCAGUCUUUCAAAACCCAUGUGUCCUUAAUGGUACAAAAACUCACUGGUCACCAUCUCACUAUCCUGAAAAUCUGAAAAUAAACAGAAGUCAUAUUUCAUGCCUAUCACAUACUAAUUGUAUUUCAGGGUAUCUAAAUGUUUGAUGAGGAAUCAUUUUUCUUUAGAGAAAAAUUCCAACUAAUAAAGGUAGAAGAAAUGAGAGAAUUAUAAGAGAACAAUUUCAACCUCUUAUAAAGUAGUGAAUCUAGGCAACAAUCAUCAAAUAUUUAGACAUAACAUUGAUGAAAACUUCAGAAAGGAUAGAUCAGGUGGACAAUAUCUAAGCCCAUUAAUUAAUCUUAACAUCAAUAAAAGUGGGACAACCAGACAUUUCAUGACUACCCAUGAAGAAUUUUUGGCAAAGAAUAGAGCCUGAAUUUAAUCUGGCCACUUUACAGGAACUAUGACUAUGAGGAAGACAGCCACAUGUUAAAUGACACCAUUGGGGAUGAAAUGAGCUAAAUCUAAAAUGUGGGGAAUUCUACAGAUUAAAUCACUUGACUACUUCCACUAUAAAUGGUAUGAUAAAAGAGGGAGCAGUUAAGAAUUAAAAGAGACUUAAAAGGCUUAUAAACCAAAUGCAAUGUGAGAAUCUUUUUUUUUUUUGAUCUUGAUUAGAACAAACCAAUUGCAAAAAGCCACUUGGGAGAUAAUUUAGACAUUUGAACACAGCUUUGGCACAUUUGGGAGGGGAAUCUGAGAUUUGUGAACACCUGGUGAAUCAGGUGCUCUUGUACCAAGGUCCAAUAACUCAUAGUGCUGGAUAAAUAAAGACAAAUUCUUUUUAUUUGUCCUCUUUUCCUUGGAUCUAGCAGUCCAUUUUGUUAUGAAGCCUUUCUUUCUUAGUUUUUGAUCUUCAUAGUUGCCAUUAUAUGCCUUUGAUUCCUCCCUGGGUUGAACAGAUUUGGGCCUUUUUAUGUUUCAGCCACACGUUUACUGACAGUCUCCUGUAACUCUUGUGACUUCUCCACAAGUCUAAGUUCAUUCAUUAUAGAUGAUAAUUACAGUGCUAUUCCCAAGAUGGUAAUUUUAUUUCCUGGGUUUGA